UACAGAGGGUGCGAGCGUUGUCCGGAAUCACUGGGCGUAAAGGGCGCGUAGGUGGUUGGGUAAGCGUGUGGUGAAAGCCCGGGGCUCAACCCCGGGUCGGCCAUGCGAACUGCCCGACUGGAGCAUGGUAGAGGCCAAUGGAAUUCCGGGUGUAGCGGUGGAAUGCGUAGAGAUCCGGAAGAACACCGGUGGCGAAGGCGGUUGGCUGGGCCAUGGCUGACACUGAGGCGCGACAGCGUGGGGAGCAAACAGG
rnacentral:rRNA from 1 species